CUGCUCUCAGCUCUCGGUUCGGCGAGUCAUGGCAACUUUCCAAAGGUAGAAUAUUUGCAGUAAUAGAAAUGCGUGGACGAGCUCCGGCCCCUGUCAACACGUCAAGACAAGUCUCGAUGCAGCUAGUCCUAGCUCCUCACAGCGAUGCCUCGUUCCCAGUGCUACCUUGUAUUUAAAUAGAGGAAGGAAGCUCCUCAACAGCACUAGCCUAGACUGUUUCCCGCAUCCUUCGCUUGGUGUCGCUGCUCUCCACUCGCCCCUUUCCGUAACCUACAAUAUUCGGCUUGUCCCGGAAUAACAGGAGUUGGUCACGAAUGCCAAGAGAAAGAUAUAUAUACUGGCUACCGUCUCACUAUGCGCUUCGUAAACUUGCACCAAUCUUAUAUUGCGGUAAGCAAUGAGAUUAGAAGGUAACCACCAGCACAGAAGUUACCGAUCACGCCUGCUAUUCUUCUGAAGAUACGUCAAAAAUUAGACCUGACCUCACUCUUCAACAUAGCUUCCUGGUCAUCCUGUGUGGUGGGCUUUUCACAUUUUUAAGAAAAUCGACUCUGUUGCCCUACAA